UACGGAGGGUGCAAGCGUUAUCCGGAUUCACUGGGUUUAAAGGGUGCGUAGGUGGGCAGGUAAGUCAGUGGUGAAAUCUCCGGGCUUAACCCGGAAACUGCCAUUGAUACUAUCAGUCUUGAAUACCGUGGAGGUAAGCGGAAUAUGUCAUGUAGCGGUGGAAUGCUUAGAUAUGACAUAGAACACCAAUUGCGAAGGCAGCUUACUACCCGAAUAUUGACACUGAGGCACGAAAGCGUGGGGAUCAAACAGG
rnacentral:rRNA from 1 species